AUUCAGUCGGUGGAUCCUCCUGCUCGAAGGCGGGGUGCUAAACCAUUCGCAGACGACCUAGUUGAAGAUCGGGGUGUCGUGAUCACUAGAGCAGUACAUCUCACUGCGAUUUGUUGAGAGUAAGCCUCAAGAUCUGUCGGUUUGU
rfam:Ciona savignyi cont_46439, whole genome shotgun sequence.